rnacentral:rRNA from 1 species
UGGGGAAUAUUGGACAAUGGGCGGAAGCCUGAUCCAGCAACGCCGCGUGAGGGAUGACGGCCUUCGGGUUGUAAACCUCUUUCACUAUUGACGAAGUCGCAUCUUUUUGGGUGUGGUGACGGUAGGUGGGGAAGAAGCACCGGCCAACUACGUGCCAGCAGCCGCGGUAAUACGUAGGGUGCGAGCGUUGUCCGGAAUUAUUGGGCGUAAAGGGCUCGUAGGCGGUUUGUCGCGUCGGGAGUGAAAACCUCGGGCUUAACUCGGGGCUUGCUUUCGAUACGGGCAGACUAGAGGUAUGCAGGGGAGAACGGAAUUCCUGGUGUAGCGGUGAAAUGCGCAGAUAUCAGGAGGAACACCGGUGGCGAAGGCGGUUCUCUGGGCAUGAUCUGACGCUGAGGAGCGAAAGUGUGGGGAGCGAACA